rnacentral:rRNA from 1 species
CCUUUAAAGAAAGCGUAACAGCUCACUGGUCUAGCGAUUCUGCGCCGAAAAUAUAACGGGGCUAAGACAAACACCGAAGCUUUAGAUUUGGUAUUACUACCAAGUGGUAGGAGAGCGUUCCAUUCAGCGUUGAAGGUAUACCGGCAAGGAGUACUGGAGCGGAUGGAAGUGAGCAUGCAGGCAUGAGUAGCGAGAAAAGGGAUGAGAAUUCCCUUCGCCGUAAACCCAAGGUUUCCUACGCGAUGCUCGUCAUCGUAGGGUUAGUCGGGACCUAAGUCGAGUCCGAAAGGGGUAGACGAUGGCAAAUAGGUUAAUAUUCCUAUACCGACGGUUGUUUGUUUGAGUGAUGGGGGGACGCAUAGAGUUAAUCGAGCUCGCUGAUGGAAUAGCGGGUCGAAGGACGUAGGUCGAGAAGUAGGCAAAUCCGCUUCUCAUGAGACCGAGAUCUUACAGGCCGAGCAAUAUCUUCGGAUAGCGCUUGGAAUCGAUGAUACUGUCGUGCCGAGAAAAGCCUCUAAACGAGAACAACCGUUGCCCGUACCGCAAACCGACACAGGUGGGUGAGAUGAGUAUUCUAAGGCGCGUGGAUGAACCCUGGUUAAGGAACUCUGCAAACUAGCACCGUAUCUUCGGUAUAAGGUGUGCCUGUUCUGUAAUGGAAUUUACUUCCAGAAGCAAUCUAAGGUCGCAGCAAAGUG